rnacentral:rRNA from 1 species
GAUGAACGCUGGCGGCGCGCCUAACACAUGCAAGUCGAACGAUUAAAGCACCUUCGGGCGUGUAUAAAGUGGCGAACGGCUGAGUAACACGUGCGCAACCUGCCCCUUUCAUUGGGAUAGCCACCGUCAACCGUGGGUAAUACCGAACACUUUGUGUCUUCCGCCUCGAAGACUCGAGAAAGCUCCGGCGGAGGGGGAUGGGCCCGCGGCCUGUGAGCUUGUUGGAGGGGUAACGGCCUACCACGGCAAUGCUGGGUAGCUGGGUUGAGAGACCGGCCAGCCAGCUUGGGACUGAGACACGGCCCAGACUCCUACGGGAGGCAGCAGUGGGGAAUCUUGCACAAUGGGCGAAAGCCUGAUGCAGCGACGCCGCGUGCGGGAUGAAGGCCUUCGGGUUGUAAACCGCUUUCAGCAGGGACGAGGCGAAAGUGACGGUACCUGCAGAAGAAGCCCCGGCUAACUACGUG